rnacentral:lncRNA from 1 species
UUUUGAUUUUUAUAUUAAAAAAUAUUAAAGCUUAAAACACUUGAGAGUAUCUCAUACUCUAGGAUAACAUAGAAAUUUUCUUUCUAGAAAGCGAGGAAUUGAACUCUAGUUCAAGUGUCAGGGUGAAUGUCCUCUUGCAUACGCAUGAUUCUUUUUGUUUUACUCAUCAAGUUAUAUUUUCAUUAAUGACAACAACUAUUGUGGAGCAAAAACUAGUUCAAUAAAUUCUAGAACUAACAUGUGAACUCUUAAAAAAAAAAAAAAAAAUAUGAGAAUGCACUUAUUAAAUUGGCAAGACUCACAUUUAAUCCACAUGUAGUUUAACAUCCUUGAAGUUUGAAGUCUUAAAGAUGGGAUUAAUUACAAAUUCUUAUCUUUAUGCUUUCCUAAUUGAAGGUCAACUUUGUUGAUGCACAAAACCAGAGGGGUCUUGGAACAACGUAAAUCCGACCAUGAAUCUACAAGAAAGUAAAUAACACAAGAUGUAUCGUGGUUCAUCCCAAGGUUUGGGCUACGUCCACACUGAUAUUGUAUUUCUGAGGGAGAGAGAGCUCUGAAUAUGAGAGUGAGAGCUUUGAGGGGAUGAGAGGGCUUAAGAAAUGGCUUCUGGGGGUGAGCAGGCUUCCCCUAAUUGUGAGGGUGAGAGGUCCUUUUAUAGAAUAAGGGCUCCUCACUUAUUACAUAUUUGCCCCUUCCUUUAUUACAUAAUUACAUUUAAGUCCCCCAAGAUUUAUACGAGAUCUAAAUACGGAGGCCCUAAGUAUGGUAUAAAUAGUAGUCCACCAAGUCUUCAGUCAAGAGAGUCUUUUGGCUGGUGACUUUAAAUUCAGUCCAUGUGUGGGCCGAACUAACUAGAUGUCAUCUUGAAUUGAUACUUGAUAUGAGGUGGUGCUCAAAGAGAAAUGAUGCUUAAGUAGCACAUGUUGCGAGGCUGCUCGGCUUGUGGCUUAUGUUGCCUUGGUUGGCUUGGCUUGUGGCGUUGAAGGUGAGGGAGUCACUUUUAUAGAAUAA